rnacentral:rRNA from 1 species
UCAUGAGUCCGCAUGUUCACAUGAUUAAAGGUAUUCCGGUAGACGAUGGGGAUGCGUUCCAUUAGAUAGUAGCCGGGGUAACGGCCCACCUAGUCUUCGAUGGAUAGGGGUUCUGAGAGGAAGGUCCCCCACAUUGGAACUGAGACACGGUCCAAACUCCUACGGGAGGCAGCAGUGAGGAAUAUUGGUCAAUGGGCGAGAGCCUGAACCAGCCAAGUAGCGUGAAGGAUGAUUGCCCUAUGGGUUGUAAACUUCUUUUAUAAAGGAAUAAAGUCGGGUAUGCAUACCCGUUUGCAUGUACUUUAUGAAUAAGGAUCAGCUAACUCCGUGCCAGCAGCCGCGGUAAUACGGAGGAUCCGAGCGUUAUCCGGAUUUAUUGGGUUUAAAGGGAGCGUAGAUGGAUGUUUAAGUCAGUUGUGAAAGUUUGCGGCUCAACCGUAAAAUUGCAGUUGAUACUGGAUAUCUUGAGUGCAGUUGAGGCAGGCGGAAUUCGUGGUGUAGCGGUGAAAUGCUUAGAUAUCACGAAGACUCCGAUUGCGAAGGCAGCCUGCUAAGCUG